UCAUAUGUACAUACCUAAAAAAUUAAUGCACCAUAUCCCAUUAGAACUCCACAGUUAAGCAUGUUUGUACUAGAUUAGUAAUGGGAUGGGUGAUCUCUCGGGAAAUACUAGUGUUUUACAUGCU
rfam:Picea glauca, whole genome shotgun sequence.